GACGAACGCUGGCGGCGUGCUUAACACAUGCAAGUCGAGCGGUAAGGCCCUUUCGGGGGUACACGAGCGGCGAACGGGUGAGUAACACGUGGGUGACCUGCCCUCAGCUCUGGGAUAAGCCUGGGAAACCGGGUCUAAUACUGGAUAUGACUCCAUGACGCAUGUUGUGGGGUGGAAAGCCUUGUGCGGCUGAGGAUGGGGCCCGCGGCCUAUCAGCUUGUUGGUGGGGUGANGGCCUACCAAGGCGACGACGGGUAGCCGGCCUGAGAGGGCGACCGGCCACACUGGGACUGAGACACGGCCCAGACUCCUACGGGAGGCAGCAGUGGGGAAUCUUGCGCAAUGGGCGAAAGCCUGACGCAGCGACGCCGCGUGAGGGAUGACGGCCCUCGGGUUGUAAACCUCUUUCAGCUCCGACGAAAGCGAGAGUGACGGUAGGAGCAGAAGAAGCACCGGCCAAC
rnacentral:rRNA from 1 species